CCCUUAGAUGUCCUGGGCCGCACGCGCGUUACACUGAUGCAUUCAACGAGCUUAUAACCUUGGCCGAGAGGCCUGGGCAAUCUUGUUAACGUGCAUCGUGAUAGGGAUAGAUUAUUGAAAUUAUUAAUCUUGAACGAGGAAUUCCUAGUAAACGCAGAUCAUCAAUCUGCAUUGAUUACGUCCCUGCCCUUUGUACACACCGCCCGUCGCACCUACCGAUUGGAUGGUCCGGUGAAGCCUCGGGAUUGUGGUUCUUGCCGCUUUAUUGUGGCGUGACCGAGAGAACUUGUCUAAACCUUAUCAUCUAGAGGAAGGUGAAGUCGUAACA
rnacentral:rRNA from 1 species